GUCAGAAAUCUGCUGGGCAGCCCCGUGGGGUUCCACUUCCUCUUACUGGGAGGAUCCCCACCCGAGCCCAAGGGCAGGGGCAGUGUGAGUUGAGUACCUAGGGCUCUGAACCUGCUCACUAAUUGAGACUGCUCACCAUGUGCUUGCACCGGUGGGAAGCAUCUGGAAGGAUGUAAGAUCAGACAUGCAGUAGUAGUAGAGAUAGGAAUCGCAGAGAACUUCCACCCACAGAGAUACCCCGGAGAUGCCCUUACUCCACGUGGAUGCUCUUCACACGUUACCCAAGAGACCACAUGUUUCUUGGUCAGCAAGAACAUGGACCAUGGACUUGAGACAUCUGUGUGCUCCCUGGUAUCAGCAUGCUGCUGACCUCACCAUGGUCUCCUGUGGCAACGCAGAACAUGGACAUCAACAUGGCUUCAGGUGACAGUCGAGACCACACGGGCCACGGACAUAAGCACAAGCUCUAACUACAGUAGGACCACACACCCAGACAUGGCUCUUGGCAGCAGCACGCACCUGGACAUCACCAUGGUCACAGGAAGCUGCCAAGGCCACUUACAACAACGUGGUCCUUGGCUAUCACAGAAUAGCCUCAGGUGUUGAUGGAGACCAAGGAUAUUCAUAUGGCCUUCUCGGGACAGAGACAUAAGCAAGGUUCAUGGCUGCUGUAGGACCAUGGAUAUCCACUUGAACCUGGGGCUUCAACAUGGUCUGGGCAGCUGACUACAGAUACCAAAGUGGCCGCCAGAGGCAGCACUGACCAUAGAGACCUUUGGAGGUAGUCUAAUCCAGAAAACGAACUGCUCUUCAUCUCAGACAUCCUAUUAUUGCUCAGAACAGGGGGAUCACGAGGCUGGGCUGCAUGCUCCAGGCUGCUGCACACUACCCCUACAGCCCUGCUCAGCAAUGACAUUUUCCUGGUCCACCAUAGCCUUCUCUCACACCUAUUGUUGCCCUGAUGCUCAGGUGAGAGUCUGACAUAACUGGAAAGCCCUGAGCUCAGUACAAAACUCAGACUCCCUUUGUCAGCGAGGCUUCCUUUUCUCAGCCUGGGGGAUUCCAGACACCACACCCUGUAUUUGCAGAAUAUCACAUAGCUUCGGUUAAGAUUACAGGUUCAGCUUCCUUUCUUCCAAUAAGAACGCAUUCAGCUAGAACCUAAGAUUCCUGAAAUAUCUCCCCAUGUUAAUGAGAUACCUCCAGCCUUCAAUUCAGCCAACGACCUUUGCCUACCCUGGAUAUUCCUACCGCUUCACUAGGCAGAGGCAGGUGGAUUUCUGAAUUUGAGGCCAGCCUGGACUACAAAGUGAGUUCCAGGACAGCCAGGGCUAUACAGAGAAACCUUGAGAAAACAGAAAAAAAAAAUAUAACCCUUGAUUGACCCCAAGUAAAGUUGGUGUGUCUCCCCAAAGCUGGUCCUGGGGUGUCCUGGGGUGUUGCUGUACUCACAGGACUUCUGAACCUCCUGUCUGUGCAUUUGCCCUUGUGGACCGAUGUUGCCUGACAGUGCCUGGGAGCACGGAGGGUCACAGCCUAGCCUCUGUUGCAUUUUCAGUGCUAACUUACUGCACCAUUCAUCUACCUCAACUCUGCAUUGAGUAUUCAUUUGUUGUGUAGCAUUGGAAAAUUAGACAGCUUUGCAUGCAAAUAUUCAUUGCAGCUAGUCAGAGUUCAGGGUUGCUGGAUCUGAAACACCAUGAGUCCUGGACCAUUGCCAAGAUGCUGCUGCCCAGAUGUCGCAAGACGGCAGGGCUUCCAGAGGCAGGUUCUGUGUGAGCUCCUGGCUGCCACUCACCUCCCUGCCUGUCCUUCAUGUCUGCCACACCGAGGCCCACUAGGCUUUGCCUUUGGCCUUGUUGCAUGAUACACUGAACUCUUUGUCUCGUAGCAAGGCAAGCAGCACUGGAGGUGCAGGGCUCCAUGCUGGGUGCCAGGGCCGCUAAGGCUGACCCUAGUCAACAGUGACCUGCUUCUGUGUGCACUCCAGGAGCCAGAUCGUCUCCCUGUGGUUGGUGUUGGCAGCCCCAUUACUCAUAGGAGUGACUUUUGUGCUUGCGGGUGGCUGAGAUUCAGCAGCUAAGGGUACAGGGAUUCAUCACUGCCCAAGCAGGGCUCUGUUUUGCUAUCUUUCUUACCAAUUUUGUGCUUUUAAAAUCAUCUUCCCAUAAAACUUGCCUUUGGUUGGUUGGUUGGUUGGUUGGUUGGUUGGCUGGCUGUUUGGUUAUUUGGUUUGGUUUGGUUUGGUUUGGUUUGGUUUGGUUUGGUUUGGUUUGGAGCUAUUGUGGGCCUUACACUUGCAUUUUCUACCAAUAUGUCACCCAGGACUGGUGAUGGCCACAACCUUUCUCCUCAGGUUCCUGGAUGCUGGGAUUAUAGGUGUGUGUGAGCAUACUACUGCCACUUCUA
rnacentral:lncRNA from 1 species